rnacentral:lncRNA from 1 species
GGUAGAAAGUUCAGCGGGUCAAGGUGCUUGUCCCCCUCCCCCCGUGACCCCGAACGGGGAGCGCUCCUCUCUCUCUGCCCCCCGCACCCAGGGCGGAGGCUGCCCAGGAACAACCCCUGGCGCUGCUCCCCCGCCGGCAGUGCAGUGAGCGGGGGGUGCGCGCUGCAGCCCGUGAGCAGGGCAGCCGGGCUCACCUCGCGGGUGGGGCGAGGCGCCAGCAACUGCAUCCUCCUAAAGGGGGGUGCUCUCCGCAAGGCACCACCCCGGCUACGGGCAGGGAGAGGGCAAGUAAAGUUGCAGCGGUAUCAGCGGCAGCGCCCCCGCCCCGGUGGGCAUUGGCCGGAGCCGGGGAGAGCGCCGUGCAUGGCCGCGGCCAGCCAUCAAGUGGCUCGUUAAGGAAAUGCAGGUGAGCGCGUGUGGGGCUGGGGCUGCCGCUGGUGGGGAUGCGCCUGUGUGUGUGUGUGUGCGCGCGCUGGAGGGAGAUGCUGCCUCUGCCGCUGCCUCGCACACAGCCGGCAGCAGGAGCGGGCGGGUGUGUGUCACUUUGACAGCACCAUUGACUCCUCUCGUGCUCUCGCUGCCUCUUCCAGCUGUUGCCACCAAGGAGCGUCUCACUUUCACCCCCUCCCCUUCAAUCCCCUCCCCCAGUCUCUCUCUGCUAGCCUCAGCGGAGAGAGUUGCAGUUCGCUCUGGGCCCGUGUGGAAUAGAGACACUGUUCUUCAUCUGACUGGUAGGAGAGGAAAGCGAAGACUCCUUGAGGUUUUCCAAAGAGGUCCGGGCUGGCUGCUUUAGUGAGUAAAUCCUUGUUUGUAUAGGGUUUGUGUGUGCAGGGGGGGUGGGGGGCAUCUUUUCAUUUU